UUUGUGGUGUUCCUAAUUUACUGUUCAGCACUCCUGACUGACAUGUCUUGCUUAACGCCCAGGCAGCCCCAUGGGCAGUCAGGGGUGUUCCCAGCUGGGAUCCUGCCCUCUUGGAGAAGCUCCUUCUGCCAACUCCCUCCUACCCAGGAGGAGACACCAAAGCACUGUGUCCCUGCCAGGAGACAAGCAGAGUGCUGGUGGGAUUUCCGAGGGGCACAGCUCUCCAGCUCAUCCAGCAGUGCAGAAGGGGGACAUUGGGCACAUGGGAACUGCAGGCCACCUGGUCCUGAGGCCAAACUUGUGAAUUCGUGUUCCACAACUUCCCCCGCUUCUCUCCACCUCCACACAACUCUGCUCUCUCACUGAUCACCUGCGUAAUUAAUGAAGAAAAGAGAAUUCACCUUGUCCAAACACCAAUCCAUGAAGGAAAGACCUUGCUGACGGAAGCAGUUUCUCUGCAGAGAUGUUCUACUGGCAUAGAGCUGGCAAAACUAUAUUAAAUUUUAACAGAAAGCUUAGAAGUUGCCUACAGCAAACCUUGGCCACAGGUCCACCACAGAUUUCAGUCUUAGAUACUCAUAUUUUGUAUUUCAAAACAGAACUUUAAUCCUCACAGCCUACAUCAACUAACCUUGGGAAUGCCAAGGUUUUUAUCACAAAAGCUUAGGAGGUCCCAAAAUUUUCUCAUCCAGAAGGCAUGUCCAGAAACAUCCCAAUUCCAGCAAGUUGGGAAAUGCCCAUCUUUGAGGCCUGAGCUUCAUUAGGAACUGCAAAGACUUACUCCCUCCAACAUUUUGCCCAAGGAUAUCCAUCCUACAGGCAAGCAGUACUUUUACCUAGAGAGGUUCAGUGCAAAAAUGCAUCAGCAAAGACCUUCUUCCAAAUCAGUUGUCAUCAUCACUGUGACUAAUCCUGCAUUCUUCCAUCUCAGCUAGUAUGUACAGAAAUCAGAAACCUAUUUCAGGAAAGUGCACUGAACAUAAAAGGUGGGGCAAGAACCCAAUGACCAGAUAUUGCAAUUACUCACAUGCUGGCGGGUAAGGUCCCCUUACUAACCCACACCUAGCUUCACUUGCAGCUCAUUCUGUGUCUGGAGUGAAGGAAGGGGAACAAUUAUACUAUCUCAAAUCAUCAUGAUUGUUUCAAUGAUUGCAUUAGCAUUCUCAAAGCAUAAACCGCCCACAAAACAUUUGAGGCAGACAUCUAAUGAUGGAUUUUCCCAACAGAGAAAGCAAUUCCUCUAAGCAAUAAAACAGUCUGUGAGAAAUCCUGCA
rnacentral:lncRNA from 1 species